rnacentral:rRNA from 1 species
GUAAGGAAUAUUGGUCAAUGGACGAAAGUCUGAACCAGCCAUGCCGCGUGAAGGAUGAAGGCCCUCUGGGUUGUAAACUUCUUUUAUCUGGGACGAAAAAAGGGUAUUCUUACUCACUUGACGGUACCAGAGGAAUAAGCACCGGCUAACUCCGUGCCAGCAGCCGCGGUAAUACGGAGGGUGCAAGCGUUAUCCGGAUUCACUGGGUUUAAAGGGUGCGUAGGUGGGUAUUUAAGUCAGUGGUGAAAUCUCCGAGCUUAACUCGGAAACUGCCAUUGAUACUAGUUACAUUGAAUGCCCUGGAGGUAAGCGGAAUAUGUCAUGUAGCGGUGAAAUGCUUAGAUAUGACUUGGAACACCGAUAGCGAAGGCAGCUGACUGAGCCUUGAUUGACGCUGAGGCUCGAAAGCGUGGGGAGCAAACAGGAUUAGAAACCCCUGUAGUCC